CUUGUUUCCUAUGUGGGAAACUAAGUUUUUUGUCCUCUCAGCAGCUAGAGCUGCUACAACAAGGUAUAAAUUUCAGUGAACUUCAGUGGACAUUUCACUUCCCCAGGGUUUUAGUUGGUGUUCAUUUGAUAAAAAUUGCUCCUGGACUUUUAGAACUGGUCAGUGCAAAAUAAAUGAGGCAUAUAUAUAAAACCUGACCAUCAGCUUCUGAAAUUUCCAUGUUUAAAUUUCCGAAUAAUAUAAGCAAAUGAAACACAAGUAGUAGGAGACAUAACAACUUUUAGAAAACAUUUCAACUUCUUUCCUUAUACAUUUAAACUUUUGAGAACCACUGUCAGUCAUCAAGAUACCGAUUUUUUUUUUUUUUUACUUUGCAGAUUACUCUGAGUGAUGAAGAAAUGAUAGCCAGGAACUCUGUAGACACAGACAAGGAAAAUCUGUGAUAUCCUCCUAUGUGUUGCUCUUACCUGAAGAUUUCAAAACACAGUUCAUGGGAAGUGCCCUCUGCUGUCCCACCUGGGAGAGGUUCUGGUUUCUUCUGGGUUGCAGAAAGGUGAAACUUUGUUGUUGACUUUACUUUCUGGCUGUUUGUCUUUCCUCUUCUGCACUGCUGCACCUAGCAAACCACUUCUCUGUUCCUCUUCCCUGACCCAUUUCCUAA
rnacentral:lncRNA from 1 species